AGUGAACGCUGGCGGUAGGCCUAACACAUGCAAGUCGAACGGCAGCACAGUAAGAGCUUGCUCUUACGGGUGGCGAGUGGCAGACGGGUGAGGAAUACAUCGGAAUCUACUUUUUCGUGGGGGAUAACGUAGGGAAACUUACGCUAAUACCGCAUACGACCUACGGGUGAAAGCAGGGGAUCUUCGGACCUUGCGCGAUUGAAUGAGCCGAUGUCGGAUUAGCUAGUUGGCGGGGUAAAGGCCCACCAAGGCGACGAUCCGUAGCUGGUCUGAGAGGAUGAUCAGCCACACUGGAACUGAGACACGGUCCAGACCCCUACGGGAGGCAGCAGUGGGGAAUAUUGGACAAUGGGCGCAAGCCUGAUCCAGCCAUACCGCGUGGGUGAAGAAGGCCUUCGGGUUGUAAAGCCCUUUUGUUGGGAAAGAAAAGCAGCAGGUUAAUACCCCGCUGUUCUGACGGUACCCAAAGAAUAAGCACCGGCUAACUUCGUG
rnacentral:rRNA from 1 species